rnacentral:rRNA from 1 species
AUUGAACGCUGGCGGCAUGCCUUACACAUGCAAGUCGAACGGCAGCACGGGUGCUUGCACCUGGUGGCGAGUGGCGAACGGGUGAGUAAUACAUCGGAACAUGUCCUGUAGUGGGGGAUAGCCCGGCGAAAGCCGGAUUAAUACCGCAUACGAUCUACGGAUGAAAGCGGGGGACCUUCGGGCCUCGCGCUAUAGGGUUGGCCGAUGGCUGAUUAGCUAGUUGGUGGGGUAAAGGCCUACCAAGGCGACGAUCAGUAGCUGGUCUGAGAGGACGACCAGC